rnacentral:rRNA from 1 species
CAGUAGCCACGGGAAUACGGAGGGAGCUAGCGUUGUUCGGAAUUACUGGGCGUAAAGCGCGCGUAGGCGGUUACUCAAGUCAGAGGUGAAAGCCCGGGGCUCAACCCCGGAACUGCCUUUGAAACUAGGUGACUAGAAUCUUGGAGAGGUCAGUGGAAUUCCGAGUGUAGAGGUGAAAUUCGUAGAUAUUCGGAAGAACACCAGUGGCGAAGGCGACUGACUGGACAAGUAUUGACGCUGAGGUGCGAAAGCGUGGGGAGCAAACAGGAUUAGAUACCCGCGUAGUCCCUGUCUCUUAUAC